AUUAGAUCAGAUGGAGGAACUCUUCAGCAAACUACAUCACAAAAAGGCAGCUUAUAAGAAGUAGAAACUUGGACAAACAACUAGGGAAGAGUAUCAGAGCAUUUCUCAAGCAUACAAGGAUAAAGUCAGGAAGGCCAAAGUGCUAUUGGAG